UUUCCAGACUCCUACGGGAGGCAGCAGUGAGGAAUAUUGGUCAAUGGCCGGAAGGCUGAACCAGCCAAGCCGCGUGAGGGAGGAAGGCGCAGAGCGUCGCAGACCUCUUUUGCCGGGGGACAAAAGGCCGGACGGGUCCGGUUCUGAGGGUACCCGGAGAAAAAGCAUCGGCUAACUCCGUGCCAGCAGCCGCGGUAAUACGGAGGAUCCGAGCGUUAUCCGGAUUUAUUGGGUUUAAAGGGAGCGUAGGUGGAUUGUUAAGUCAGUUGUGAAAGUUUGCGGCUCAACCGUAAAAUUGCAGUUGAAACUGGCAGUCUUGAGUACAGUAGAGGUGGGCGGAAUUCGUGGUGUAGCGGUGAAAUGCUUAGAUAUCACGAAGAACUCCGAUUGCGAAGGCAGCUCACUGGACUGCAACUGACACUGAGGCUCGAAAGUGUGGGUAUCAAACAGGAUUAGAUACCCCAGUAG
rnacentral:rRNA from 1 species